AAGUCGAACGCACAGCGAAAGGUGCUUGCACCUUUCAAGUGAGUGGCGAACGGGUGAGUAACACGUGGACAACCUGCCUCAAGGCUGGGGAUAACAUUUGGAAACAGAUGCUAAUACCGAAUAAAACUUAGUGUCGCAUGACAAAAAGUUAAAAGGCGCUUCGGCGUCACCUAGAGAUGGAUCCGCGGUGCAUUAGUUAGUUGGUGGGGUAAAGGCCUACCAAGACAAUGAUGCAUAGCCGAGUUGAGAGACUGAUCGGCCACAUUGGGACUGAGACACGGCCCAAACUCCUACGGGAGGCUGCAGUAGGGAAUCUUCCACAAUGGGCGAAAGCCUGAUGGAGCAACGCCGCGUGUGUGAUGAAGGCUUUCGGGUCGUAAAGCACUGUUGUAUGGGAAGAACAGCUAGAAUAGGAAAUGAUUUUAGUUUGACGGUACCAUACCAGAAAGGGACGGCUAAAUACGUGCCAGCAGCCGCGGUAAUACGUAUGUCCCGAGCGUUAUCCGGAUUUAUUGGGCGUAAAGCGAGCGCAGACGGUUUAUUAAGUCUGAUGUGAAAGCCCGGAGCUCAACUCCGGAAUGGCAUUGGAAACUGGUUAACUUGAGUGCAGUAGAGGUAAGUGGAACUCCAUGUGUAGCGGUGGAAUGCGUAGAUAUAUGGAAGAACACCAGUGGCGAAGGCGGCUUACUGGACUGCAACUGACGUUGAGGCUCGAAAGUGUGGGUAGCAAACAGGAUUAGAUACCCUGGUAGUCCACACCGUAAACGAUGAACACUAGGUGUUUAGGAGGUUUCCGCCUCUUAGUGCCGAAGCUAACGCAUUAAGUGUUCCGCCUGGGGGAA
rnacentral:rRNA from 1 species